AAGUCGUAACAAGGUUUCCGUAGGUGAACCUGCGGAAGGAUCAUUAACACAAAAAACAAUCCCAUAUCCACCCCUUUUUUAUAACGAACUAUGGUUUUUCUUUUUUUCGGAUUCGGACCUCUCUCUACUUAUCGCCAAGAUAAGGACAGAGACGACGGGACGGAAAAAGAAACUCUCAUUUUCUCCUCUUUAUUACCCUCUUAUUUUUACCCCAAAACAACCAAUACCAAACAUGCGAUAGACUGAUAUUUAUUUAUCAACGAUAUAAUAAUCAAUGAUACAUAAAACAACUCUUAGCAACGGAUAUCUUGGCUCUC
rnacentral:misc_RNA from 1 species